GGGGCUGCAAGCUAAAGGGAGAAGUCCACAUGAUCCACACUCCAAAGCAACUAAGCAAGCCCGAUGAGUGAGGGAAUAUGACAGGAUUAUUCGCGGGCGCAUGCAUGGCACGGGGGCCCCAUGGUUCAGUGGUUCAAGAGGCAGGAGGAUUAUGCAAAAUUAACUGCCAUGUUCCUCAUGGACCCUGCCUGUCCCCUCCUGUUAUGGAUCCAUUGAACC
rnacentral:lncRNA from 1 species